rnacentral:rRNA from 1 species
AAUAGAUACCCUGGUAGUCCACGCCGUAAACGAUGAGUGCUAAGUGUUAGAGGGUUUCCGCCCUUUAGUGCUGCAGCUAACGCAUUAAGCACUCCGCCUGGGGAGUACGGCCGCAAGGCUGAAACUCAAAGGAAUUGACGGGGGCCCGCACAAGCGGUGGAGCAUGUGGUUUAAUUCGAAGCAACGCGAAGAACCUUACCAGGUCUUGACAUCCUCUGACAACCCUAGAGAUAGGGCUUUCCCCUUCGGGGGACAGAGUGACAGGUGGUGCAUGGUUGUCGUCAGCUCGUGUCGUGAGAUGUUGGGUUAAGUCCCGCAACGAGCGCAACCCUUGAUCUUAGUUGCCAGCAUUCAGUUGGGCACUCUAAGGUGACUGCCGGUGACAAACCGGAGGAAGGUGGGGAUGACGUCAAAUCAUCAUGCCCCUUAUGACCUGGGCUACACACGUGCUACAAUGGAUGGUACAAAGGGCUGCAAACCUGCGAAGGUAAGCGAAUCCAUAAACGCAUUCUCAGUUCGGAUUGC